GACGAACCGUCCAAACGUUAUUCGGAAUCACUGGGCUUAAAGGGUGCGUAGGCGCCCGGAAAGUUGUGUGUGAAAGCCCUCGGCUCAACCGAGGAACAGCGCGCAAAACUACCGGGCUCGAGGGAGACAGAGGUAAGCGGAACUUAGGGUGGAGCGGUGAAAUGCGUUGAUAUCCUAAGGAACACCAGGAGCGAAAGCGGCUUACUGGGUCUCUUCUGACGCUGAGGCACGAAAGCUAGGGGAGCGAACGGG
rnacentral:rRNA from 1 species